rnacentral:rRNA from 1 species
AUGGAAGUGACUGGAGUUGCUCAGCGUCAAAUAGGUACUCCCUCCAGCAGAGGUCUUGCAUUCUGGGUGGGAGCGACUUCAAGAACUUUGCGUUUGGGAAUAGUCAGGAAUACGAGGGAUGAACGGUUCUGUAGCAGCCAUCGUUCAGGUAAGCUAUCCAUCUCUGGCAGUCAUAACAAAUAUCCGAUGUGGCAGAGACUCUUUAGUGGCUCAAGAAGCAUCACCAAUUUGCAUGCGCUCCAGAGAUCCAUGCAUCAAGUACAACGAUUACACGCCACCAACAGUGUAUCCGUCUCAGUAGGCUACCUGGUAGUACUUGACCAUCAAUCGACUCCCCAGAUUAAUUUGAAGAGUUGUUGCAGCACGCAAGUUUGCACGUACUUGACGGAAAAUGUGUUCGCGAGAUCAUUCAUUCGGGUGGUUGAUGCCCCCAACAAUCUCUCACGUACUAAACUGAAGACAUUUGCAGAAAUAAGCAACGAGAGUUCAGCACAAACUCUACCCUGUUCCUAUUAA